CGGGUGAGUAACACGUGGAUAACCUACCUAUAAGACUGGGAUAACUUCGGGAAACCGGAGCUAAUACCGGAUAAUAUUUUGAACCGCAUGGUUCAAAAGUGAAAGACGGUCUUGCUGUCACUUAUAGAUGGAUCGCGCUGCAUUAGCUAGUUGGUAAGGUAACGGCUUACCAAGGCAACGAUGCAUAGCCGACCUGAGAGGGUGAUCGGCCACACUGGAACUGAGACACGGUCCAGACUCCUACGGGAGGCAGCAGGA
rnacentral:rRNA from 1 species